rnacentral:rRNA from 1 species
AAAUUGAAGAGUUUGAUCAUGGCUCAGAUUGAACGCUGGCGGCAGGCCUAACACAUGCAAGUCGGACGGUAGCACAGAGAGCUUGCUCUUGGGUGACGAGUGGCGGACGGGUGAGUAAUGUCUGGGGAUCUGCCCGAUAGAGGGGGAUAACCACUGGAAACGGUGGCUAAUACCGCAUAACGUCGCAAGACCAAAGAGGGGGACCUUCGGGCCUCUCACUAUCGGAUGAACCCAGAUGGGAUUAGCUAGUAGGCGGGGUAAUGGCCCACCUAGGCGACGAUCCCUAGCUGGUCUGAGAGGAUGACCAGCCACACUGGAACUGAGACACGGUCCAGACUCCUACGGGAGGCAGCAGUGGGGAAUAUUGCACAAUGGGCGCAAGCCUGAUGCAGCCAUGCCGCGUGUAUGAAGAAGGCCUUCGGGUUGUAAAGUACUUUCAGCGGGGAGG